rnacentral:tRNA from 1 species
AAGAAACUAGUCCAAUAAAGACAAUUGAUUUCGACUCAAUUAAUUAUGAUUUUAACCCAUAGUUUCUUA